rnacentral:sRNA from 1 species
AACAAAACCUACGAAGGCUUUUGAAAAUCCCAAGGUUUCGUAAAACCUGGCUCUGAUACCAAACUGUAACACCCCAAAUUCGGUAGAAUUUUGAAAGUAUUACUAAAAAUAAUAU